UUAAGUAUGAUAUUUUGCACCGAACCCCCACUCAGCUGGAACUAACUGACUUCUGUUUUGGCAGUCUGGAAAGAAGUGCACAGAAGAAUGGGCAUGGGAAUGUAAUGUGGCUUAGUUCAUCGUGUGGUCAAUGAUCAUCAGUGAGAUAGUGGAAAAUGGCAUCAUCGAGGGACGGUGCAAACGUGGCCCUCAAAUGGAUGAAAGAGAAAAGGAAUGGCUAGAAAAGGGAAGCAGACCUCACACUGAAAUGUGCAGAAUAAUUUUGGAUGAAAAGUUUCUGAGAAACAUCCCAAACUUUCUACAGCUUAGAUCUACAUUUGAUCUGGAGCAGUUCCAGCAGUACUUGUAUAUGUAUACUACCAAGAUGUUGGAGUACACCUACCCUGUCUACAGGGCAAGAUGUUUUUUUGGCAACAAUUGAUUACAACAUGGAUUUGAACCAGCAAACUAUGCACAGUCAGCAAAAUCAGUUAAUGAAACCAACAGAAUGUCUUUCAGGGAGAUGAAGCUAUCUGCAACAGAAACUUGAUUU